GCUCGGUUCGUCUAGUGGUUAGGACGGUGGAUUUUGAUAUCUCUCUACUAUCAAAAGGCUUCCACAAACCUCGGUUCGAUCCCGAGAUUGAGCU
rfam:Eutypa lata TCREL1 unplaced genomic scaffold EL1_03_scaffold_2172, whole genome shotgun sequence.